CAAUGGACGAAAGUCUGAUGGAGCAACGCCGCGUGAGUGAAGAAGGGUUUCGGCUCGUAAAGCUCUGUUGGUAGUGAAAGAAAGAUAGAGGUAGUAACUGGCCUUUAUUUGACGGUAAUUACUUAGAAAGUCACGGCUAACUACGUGCC
rnacentral:rRNA from 1 species